GAUAGGAAGCAUACUUAUGAUUAAACUAAACCUAUUUAUUGUAAUAAAAUUCAAAUCACCAUUCAUAUUGUUGCUCAUUAUUAACUCAAUAACCAUGAAAAUGAUGAUUUUCUUGUGCGUCGUCAUUUUUGUUGGCGCGUCUUCAGCACUGUCAAUUCUAGCGCCAACCAUCCCACCAUGCGGUUGCGCACCCAUACAACUUUGCAUGGCAGACGUCCCAUGCAACAAGCAACUCAUACAACCGCCGCCAUGCGUAGAGUUGCCCAAAGGUCUCGGCUACGUUGCCGCUGGUGUUCCAAUAGUAGCUGCUACGUACGGUAACUGCUGCGCAGGGCCCUGUUCCGCUGUAUCUGCUACUUGUGUCACAGAUACCUGUGGCUGUUCGCAGUGUUGUUCGCCGGUCGUGCCUAUAGCUUCGCCAUGCGCAAGCGCAGUCUUAGCUACGCCAAUUUGCCCCAAUAUUAAGGGCCUAGUUAAACCGAUUUUGUUGUAAAUUUUCCCGUCUAUUGUUAAGUAAGUAUAUUUUAGUACUAUGGCAAAAAUA